rnacentral:lncRNA from 1 species
CUUUUUCCUUCUACCGAGAUUUAUCUCUGCAAUCCCUUCACUCUCAUAUCCCUUUAAGCUCUCCCAAAUCCAUCAGAACAUUCCCUGUCCUUUUCCAUCACCGAAUCUGCAGGUAGUUUCUCCUUCUUCUCCACUAUCUUGGAGCAUUCAACCUUUCUACUGUACUGCUUUCCACUUUAAAAAAGAAUUGUUGCUCUUGUCCAACAGAAUCUGCCAAUAAACUAUUCCCCAUUUCAUGAGUUCGAGACAGCAAAACAUCUGAUUCAAGGUGGUAUUUUAUUAUUUUUCCUUUUGUAUAUAACAACCUUCAUUUUGUCUCAUCCAUUAAACACAUAUAUUACUCCAUCUCUGUUACAGCCACAAAACAAGUACAACCACACCCACAAACUUGAAAGGUUCGUUUCACUCCUUUACUUUUCUUUUCACAAUCAAUGGAUAGUAGAAAUAUCUCCCUACUCAUACGCACAUUGAACCAUACAUAUACUGGACUAGAAUCCCUGCACAAGGUCAUAGACAAGGACUUCAUAAUCUGCGUACCAGAAUAUUCAGAAAUAAAACAAGAACCAAAUUUUUGGCAUUCAAAAAUCCCCAAACAACAGGGUUAAAUCUCUACAAAACACACUUGGUUACAGUUUCGAAUUUCUGAUUCUUCACUAAAAAUCUGAACCAACAACUAAAGUCUAAUCUUUCCCCCUAAAAAAUCUAAUUCCUCAUAACUUACCGUUACUCUUAUUCUUAAAUCAGAAGAGCUGCGUUUUUUUUUACUUAAUUUGUUGAGUUGAGUGGUGUGAGAGAGAGACGAGAGGAGGAAGAUGGGGGGUGGGAGAGAACGGAGGCGGCGCGGCGGCGGUACGACGCAGCUCGAUCGGCCGCAAAAGAGAGGGAGAGAGAGAGCAGCACUGAGAGCAGCGCUGGGAAGAGCAAAGCAGCGCUGGGAGCAGUGCUAGGAAGAGCAGAGCAGCGUUGGGAAGAGCAGAGCAGCGCUGGUAAAAGCAGAGCAGCGAUGGGAAGAGCAGCGCGCGAGAGAGACAGAGGCCGAGAGAGAGAAGCGUGAGUUGAGAGGGUGAGAGGAGAGUGAAAGAGCUUUUGUUUUUUUUUUUUUUUUUGUUCUUCUUUUUCUUAUUUACCUAAGGGUUUAAACUUAAGUUUAAUUAUUAACGGCUAUUGUUAUUUAUUAUUGUAUUGUAUUAUGCUAUUAAUCCCACUAAAUCAUCAAUUAUUUUUUUAUACACCUUUGAAGUUCUUAGAUNGUUGUACGUAUAUAUAUAUAUAUAUAUAUAUAUAUUUUUUUUUUUUUUUGGACUCUAAUUAUUUUGAUUUAGCCUAUUAAUAAUGAUCAUAUUUAUUUACUCAUAAGAACAAUUUUAUUUUAUAAUCACUAAUUAUUCAUUGUAUAUAAAUACCAUUCAUUUUCUUCAAUAAUUAUAUCCGGGCAAAGUGUAUCAAUAGUUAGAUUUUUCCCUAUCCUUAGGAAUUAGAAUAGAACCUCGGAACCUACCUAAGGAUUUAAUUUCUUAUAGGUCCGAAUAACCAAGAACAGUGAGGCUUCACACGAGCUGAGCAUUGAAUCUCCCCUUUCGAGGUGGGUUUUAUUUUACAUACAAUGUAUCUUGAGUUAUAUAAGCUCUGAUAUUUCAUGAAAAUUAUCUGUUUAUCCAAUAUAAAUGUUUUAUGUGCGUUCUGUAAUUGUUUAAGGCUCGCUUAAGUAUCGAUCGAGAUUCUCAUUUGGCCUAACACGCUAAAUGAGGAUUGUGUACACAAGGUUACUGGCUCGAUGGGUUGAUCGCCAUCGUGCACUAACGGAUUUAGAACGUUAUAAGGGUAGGUGCUUGCUAGGAGGUUAUCCGAAGCACAGUUAAGACUAUUGAUUCUGACCGGGUGCGUCCCGAGAUCAAUAACAGAUUUUUGGAUAUGACUGGGUGUGUCCCGAGAUCAGUGAAUGUGGGGAGAAAGUGAGUAACAAUCGAACGUACAUGAGCGCCCUCGACAAGAAAGUAUUUUGUCAUGCUUAGAAGUGGUUUCUCUGUUUUAAAACCUUCUAAGUCAUGAUCGUGAUAUUGGAUAAACUGCUUCAUCAUUUCAUAAAAAUAUUUCAAAAACUCGUACCUACUGAGUACAUUAGUACUCUGCCCCAAAUUAUUUUCAAAUAUUUUUCAGGUUAGGCGGCUGGUGCGCACGGUGCUGAGCUGGGGUGUGUUUCAUAUCUCAACAACUAUCUACUCCUUUGCUAAUCCAACUACAUUCCUGAAUAACAUCUAGUCUAAUCAUGUUGAGCUCAGAUUCAUUAUUUCUAUCCCGCUGCAUCGUUUUGAAUGUUAUAGUAUCAGGGUUGUGAAACUAAACCUAUUUAGAUCCUUGAGGAUUUUCCAUAUAAUGAACUCGUUUUAUGUCAUCAAUAUCCAAUCAUGAUAAUAAGCCCCUUUUAUUUACUGAAUUUUAUCAUUCCCCAAGUAUGGACUGUUACACAACAUAACAUUUUCAAUUAAAGAGAUGUAUUUCUUGGUUCUCAGGGAACAAGUAGUAAAAUCAAUUUUCAAUUAAGUUGUGAUAUGUGAGGAUAUACUAUAAAUUAUACAAUAAUUGAUAUGUCUAUGUUAAUUUCCCCCCUUUUAUAUCUUUUGCCAUUUAUGCCAUUAUUAUUAUUAAUGUUUAUAACUUUGUAAUGUUCAGACUUUAUUGAGACAAAUAAUUAAUUAUUAUAACAAGUUUUAUUUAUAGAUAUAAAUAAAUUCUUGUAAUUGAUCGGAUUUAGGGUAGGUACGAGUAUAUGUAUAUUUUAAACAUGUCAGAAAAUGUAUUAACAUCCACACAUGAAAAUUUCUCUAUUUUUAAUCUUUUAUUAUUUAUAUUAUUUAUUAUUGAUAUUACUAUGUAAUAUUCGAAUUUAAGAUAGAUAGCUAAUUGUUGCAACAAUUUAUAUUUAUAAAUUUAAACAUGCUUGAAUAAUUAACGAGUAUUAUUGUAUAGGUUUGGGCUGAAAAUGGGUAAUAAAAUUAAUUUAAAGUCGAGUUUGGAACAAGUAAGAGUACACAAAUUUUGAACGAGUACAAUCAUUAAUCUACAUAUCAACUUUUUUUUUUUAAUAUUUUGACUUUUGCACUAUUUACUACUACUAAUGUUUAUAUUGUAAAGUUCAGUUUUUGUUUUAGAUGAAUAACAACUUUUAGAUUUAUAAAUUAAACGGCUUCAAGUUAUAAUUAAUUGGAUUUGAAAUAAGCUAGUAUGCGAAUAUACAUUUUAGGCGGAUCUAGAAGGUUGAUUCGUGUGCUCAUCGUUUCGCGUCAACGUAAACUUCUACAGUUCUACGUAUGAACUAUGAGAUGAAAUACCGUAAGAGCACAUCUUAAAAUAAGAAAUAAGAUCAAUUUUUAAUGUAUGAAUUUUAUGUAGAACACGUAUGAAUUCGUUGUAUAAAUGUAUGAAUUAUGAAAAAUAAAUUUUUGCGACCGUUGGAAUUCGAACUUAGGACCAUAAAUCUAUCCAACAGGAUUGCGAAUAAACCGUAGAUCUUGAUGAUCUAAUGGCUGAAAAUGAUUCUUAUUUUAUAUCUUAAUAAAUGCUCUUAUUUUAGCCAUUCCUUUGGCGACAAAAAUCAAUAGCAUAUAACAUACUCUUUUCGUCUCAAUUAUAUAGACUUGUUAUCCUUUUUUGGAUGUCCAAAAUAUAUAGGCUUGUUUUCAUAAAAGAUAAUGUUUUUUUCACUCAUUUACUAAUAUAUUCCUAUUUAAUUCUUUAAUUUACUCUAACUUUAGUUCAUCAUUAAAUAAUAAAUAUGAGUAUAUUAGGAAGUUUUACUCGUAUAUUUUUAUUUUCAAUUAUUUUUCUUAAUCCUUGUAUAAAUUAUAAUUAACUUAUAUAAAUGGGAUGGAUGGAGUAUAUAUUAUAUUUAGAAGCAUCGCUCUAAUAACGUUUACAUUAGUAAUAAAGCUAGAAUUUUAAAUAAAUAUCACUACAAUAUAAAGUAAUGUUCCAUCAAAAUUACUAAUAUUAUAUAAUUAGGGUUUGUUGGCACGUGUGACUAGUGUCUAUAAUACAUUAUGACAUAUUAAUAUCUUAUUUGAUAGUACAAAAUAUGCAGUCCUUUAUAAAAUUCAAAAUUCAAAAAUAUUAUAUAGAUUUUGACGAUUCUGUAUAUCACAUAGGAAGGUGGUAUUUGUAAUACAAAUCUUAAUUAUAACUAAUAUUAAUUUUAUAUAACAUCAAUAUAUAUCAUAUCAAUAGAUAUUUUAAUGUAUUCUAUUAAUUACAUAUCAUAUUAAUAUAAUAUAUACAAAAUAUUUUAAUCAAACAUAUCACAUUUUAUCUUAUAUGCCAUCUGAAACGAGCUCCUAUAAUAUAAUAGGCCAAUUUGUCGAAGGUAUGAAGGGACCAAUUAAACGAAACAAACAUUCUUAAAAUAACUAUGUGGGCCAAUGCAUUUAUACAAUAUUUUCGAGAUAGAACCCAAACUCGACUAUACGGAUUGGGCAACUAAAUGGACUCUACUCAAUUCACAAAUCAAUUAUAUAGAAUUCAAACUUGUAUAUAUUUUCUUUUUCUUAUGGUGAAUACUUUAGCAUGCUCAAGGAUCCAAGUAAUUUUAAUGCGAGCCCAUCCAAUAUUUAUAUUAUUGAAGAUCUAAGUUUUUCUCGCUCAUAAAAUUAAAAUAGUUGGAUUCUUACCAGUAUUAUAAUUAUAGCAUAACAAACUCAUUAUUAUAAGUACCCAAAUGCCACCAAUAUAUCAUGAAGAAUGUUUUGAGGCAUAGGUUUAUUGUUUUUUUUCCAAGGGAGUUUAACUAAUUAAGGAAAUUAAGGGCACAUAUAAUUGAUAGGUAAUGCUCACUUGUGUACGCACAUUAAUUGAUAGGCAGUUUCCUUUGCUGGUUCUAAAAAAAAAAAAAAUGUCUAUCCACUUGUUAUCGGACAAUAUCUCAUCUACUAUUAUAUGUAACUCUAAAAUAGUAAAAAUUGACCUUUUUCUUUUUGUAGAUGGGAACGAGGGAUUGGAAUUUGUAAACUAAUAACUAAUCUUUAUAUAAGGAAGUAAUACCAUUUAGCUUUUUAGAAAUAGAAAAUUAACCUUAUUAUGAUAUUAGAUAUGAAUAUGAUGCCUCCACACCAUAAUAGUAGGCAAUCAUUUUUCAAAUAAAACAAUAAAGCUAUGUGGCCACGUUAUGCUCAGUCAUAAACUAACUACAUUGAAAAUAACUUGAUUCAUUUAAAAGUUUUAGUUCAAAAUAAAAAAUGGUAUAUUUAGCUAGUUUUAGUGUUUUGUCCAUAUUGUAAUUAUUAUUAUUUUAUUUAAAAAACUAAAGAAAAAAUUAUGACAUGCACAAAAUACUAAAACUAACUAAAUUCUUUUUUAUUUUGAUAAAAAUAAUUUAAAUGAAUCAAGUUUUUUUCGAUCUGGUUAACUUAUUACUAGCCAUAAUCUGGCCAAAUAACACCACUUUAAGCAAAAAUAUGACAAUAUAUCGAUAGUUAAUAAUUUUUGAAUGUUGAUCAUAUCUAAUUAACAUUAAAGGGUUGUUUACUUUAAAGGAUUAGCAUUGAUAGAUAAAAAUAAUAAGGUUAAUCCUUUGUUUACUUUGUUGGAUUGAAACUUUAGGAAAUCACAACACCCUUGAUUAUUUUCAUUAUUUAAGUUAGUUUUGCUUAAUUCUUAUCUCAUCCCAUUCUUGAAAAAAAAAAAUACUUAAUCAUCUAUUUUAUCAAUUAUGUAAAGUAUAUGCCAUCCGACUGCUAGAAGAAUAUCACAUACUUGGUCACACAUAAUCACUUUUAAAGCUAUACGUUUAUCUAGACGUACCCACAAAAAGAAAACAAGAAAAAGACAAGCAGACAAAAAACCAUGUAGCCAGAUAGAGUGUGCUAAUUAAUGGGGUUAUGCUGUGCAAUUGUAUAUUCAUGCACCUUGCACGUGACUUUCCUCUUGAAUAAAAGUACAAUUAAUUGAGUGGCCCAUGUCUUAAAUGAGAGUAAUACUAUAGUUAUUACAAACAGAGAAUUAGAUAUGCAAACUCAUUAAUUGUUUGCCCUACACAACCAUUUUAAUUACAAACAAAAACGCACAUUAGACAUUAGAGAUAUCAAGUCUCAAGGAGAGUGAUUCUAGUGUCAAGAUUAUCCUAAGUUAAGUACACCUAAAAAUUCAAGACCCAUUUCAUUUUCACUUCUCUUUUUCUUUUUUCCUUUUAUUUAUUUUGUGAGAACAACGUGUUGUAUGUUAUGUUGCUUUCGAUGGACCUCUACGUACGUAGCCAAUACUAUCGCUGCCUGCCUUUGGUAGUUACAACAAAUUUAUUUUGAAUUGUAAACAAAAUCUUUUGAAAUCUUUCCUUCAAUUGAAGUGACAUGGCUACGAUUUUAUAUAAGGACACAUUGCGACCUUGUAAAUAGAGAUGUUACUCGUUCCGUCUCACUUUAAUAGACUCACUUAUUUUGGAUACGGAAAUUAGUAAACUUAUUUUUUGAGAAAGUGAUGUGGUCCGCACAAAUUAAGUACAUUUUUUAUAUAAAAUGAAAAACGAACCUAUUCUAUUGGAUGUCUAAAAAAACUGAGCCUAUUUAAAUGGACGGAUGAAUUAUAACUUAUAGGCUAGAUUGCACAGGUGCGGGGGGGCGGGUGCGGGAGCGAUAUGAUUCGGGUGCGGGGAUACGGAUUUUCAAAAAUUAUAGGGUGCGAUUCGUGAAGGAUACGUCUAUUAUAUUUAUAUAUUUUAUUACAUAUNAACAAACUUACAACAUCAUCUUCACUCAUCUUAAGAUAAAAAAAAGGCUACCACUUUAUUGAUAUAAUGCUCAAACUCUUGACUCAUUGACAUACUGUAAAAAUCGUGAAUUCAUACAACAGUAGAGAAUUUGAUGCCAAGAAUUUUGAGAGGUAAACUAUGAAGCCACCACCCUCCUCACGAAUUGAUACAAUCAUUCUUCUCCAUCAGAGCCACCCUCCUCAUGAUAUCAUGCUGAAUUCAUACAACAGCAAAAUGGACGCACCAAAUUCAUACUGAAGGCCGAACUAUUAAUUAAAAUUGAGUCCAUGUUAAAAUAAAUAAAAUCAGCCCAAAGUUUUAAAUAAAUAAGGGCCCAGCUAAGAUUUGGAAAUGGCCCAAGCUUUUAAAAAAAAUCGCAGCCCAAUCUAAUUAAGACCCGGCCCAACUCCCUGACCCAAACCCCAGGAGCCCUAGCCCUUCUUCUUGACAGAUCACACGCGCACACACACACAAUCGGAAGUCUCUCUCUCUAUUCUCGCGACCGCUGCCUCUCUCUCUCUCUCUCAGUUUUCACCGAGAAUCCGCCUCUUCUCCCUCAGAAAUCCGCCGCCGCCGAAGCACGCCGGAGAGACGACGAUAAGCCGCCUCAACCGUCGGCUCUCUCUCUCUUUCGAUCUCGACUCCCAGCGAAUUGGCAGCGACAAGCCACCAGUCAACGGCCCCGCCGCCCUGCUCAACCGUCUGCAUCAGCGGCGCCUGGCCUUCGGCCCCGCCGCCCUGCUCAACCGUCUCGGAUCAUGCCGCCUCGCCUCCUGCCAGCCAACAACUCCCAGAUUCGCGAAUCCGAUUUGCGAAUCCGAUUUUUUUUUUUGAUUUUUGGGGGAUUCGCCAGGUGGCGAAUUCCGUGCGAAUCCCACGCGAAUCGCGCCCGCACCCGCCCCCCGCGCGAAUCGGAUACUGCACGGGGUUGAUUUCCGGCGAAUCCGUGCAUUAUAGUUUGCAACUAAUGAAAGGCAGUGUAAGCUUACCUGUGGAUGUAGAUGGCUCUUGAACUGCUAAACAGCACGUGUUUCUCCGGUGGCUGAUUACACUCACAACCUGCACCAAUGAACUUGGUUAAAGCCAAGAAGAAUUAUCAGAAACAUAAUUUAUGAAGAUGUUUGCAUGCAGUAGGGAAAAUCUUGAAGUAAUACCAGUGAUGAUGAUGAUCUGCUUUUCUGGCACAAAUAAGAUGGGCAUCUGAAAGCAGCAACAGAUCCUCCUGUUGUCGCCAUUUUUCUUGUAUUGUUGUAGGAAGUGUUUGCGAUUCUCUUUUGUAUUGUUUAAUCAAUUAAGCAUCUUCAAAUAUAUUUUUUCAACGUUUUUUUUUUUUUUUUGGUUGUCAACUUUGAGAAUGUGGAUACUGCCAACGGCAACAUGGAGGAAG